CCAGACUCCUACGGGAGGCAGCAGUGAGGAAUAUUGGUCAAUGGUCGGGAGACUGAACCAGCCAAGCCGCGUGAGGGAUGAAGGUACAGAGUAUCGUAAACCUCUUUUGUCAGGGAACAAAGGCAGGGACGCGUCCCCGGAUGAGUGUACCUGAAGAAAAAGCAUCGGCUAACUCCGUGCCAGCAGCCGCGGUAAUACGGAGGAUGCGAGCGUUAUCCGGAUUUAUUGGGUUUAAAGGGUGCGUAGGCGGCUUUUUAAGUCUGUGUUAAAGCCCGGGGCCCCACCCCCGGCGAGCCGUUGAAACUGGCUGUCUUGAGAUGUCGAGAGGUAUGCGGAAUGCGCAGUGUAGCGGUGAAAUGCUUAGAUAUUGCGCAGAACUCCGAUUGCGAAGGCAGCAUACCGGCGGCGAUCUGACGCUGAGGCACGAAAGCGUGGGUAUCGAACAGGAUUAGAUACCCGAGUAAA
rnacentral:rRNA from 1 species